ACGGAAGGCAGCAGUGGGGAAUAUUGGUCAAUGGGCGGAAGCCUGAACCAGCCAAGUCGCGUGAAGGAUGAAGGUAUUAUGUAUUGUGAACUUCUUUAGCAGCAGAGUAAUAAGGGGGUCGUGACCUCCGAUGCAAGUAUGCUGAAAAUAAGGAUCGGCUAACUCCGUGCCAGCAGCCGCGGUAAUACGGAGGAUCCGAGCGUUAUCCGGAUUUAUUGGGUUUAAAGGGUGCGCAGGCGGUUUUUUAAGUCAGUGGUUAAAUCGUGAGGCUCAACCUCAUCACGCCAUUGAUACUGGAAGACUUGAUUGCGGUUGAGGUUGGCGGAAUUCGUCGUGUAGCGGUGAAAUGCAUAGAUAUGACGAAGAACACCGAUUGCGUAGGCAGCUGACCAAGCCGUAAAUGACGCUCAUGCACGAAAGUGCGGGGAUCGAACAGGAUUAGAUACCCUGGUA
rnacentral:rRNA from 1 species